rnacentral:rRNA from 1 species
CCUACGGGUGGCAGCAGUGGGGAAUAUUGGACAAUGGGGGGAACCCUGAUCCAGCCAUGCCGCGUGUGUGAAGAAGGCCCUCGGGUUGUAAAGCACUUUCAGUGAGGAAGAACGCCUGGUGGUUAAUACCCAUCAGGAAAGACAUCACUCACAGAAGAAGCACCGGCUAACUCCGUGCCAGCAGCCGCGGUAAUACGGAGGGUGCGAGCGUUAAUCGGAAUUACUGGGCGUAAAGCGCGCGUAGGUGGCUUGAUAAGCCGGUUGUGAAAGCCCCGGGCUCAACCUGGGAACGGCAUCCGGAACUUUCAAGCUAGAGUGCAGGAGAGGAAAGUAGAAUUCCCGGUGUAGCGGUGAAAUGCGUAGAGAUCGGGAGGAAUACCAGUGGCGAAGGCGGCCUUCUGGACUGACACUGACGCUGAGGUGCGAAAGCGUGGGUAGCAAACAGGAUUAGAUACCCGGGUAGUC